CAUUAAGAAGCUUUUACAGCACUAGCCUUUUAAGCUAGAGAGGGGGACUGAAAUCCCCCUUAAUGAA
rnacentral:tRNA from 1 species